rnacentral:pre_miRNA from 1 species
CAUAUACUCCCUCCGUCCCAAAAUUCUUGCCUUAGAUUUGUGUAGAUACGGAUGAAUCUAAUACUAAAAUGUGACUUGAUACAUCCGUAUGUAGACAAAUCCAAGACAAGAAUUUUGGGACGGAGGGAGUACUAU